rnacentral:rRNA from 1 species
UUGGGAAUCUUGCGCAAUGGGCGAAAGCCUGACGCAGCGACGCCGCGUGAAGGAUGAAGGUCUUCGGAUUGUAAACUUCUUUUCUCGAGGACGACAAUGACGGUACUCGAGGAAUAAGCCCCGGCUAACUCCGUGCCAGCAGCCGCGGUAAGACGGAGGGGGCGAGCGUUGUCCGGAAUUACUGGGCGUAAAGGGCGCGUAGGCGGUCGCAUACGGCGGUGGUUAAAGCUCCCGGCUCAACUGGGAGAGGUCCUCCGCAACGGUGCGACUCGAGGGUGGUAGAGGCGGAUGGAAUUCCUGGUGUAACGGUGAAAUGUGUAGAGAUCAGGAGGAACACCCGUGGCGAAGGCGGUCCGCUGGGCCAUGCCUGACGCUGAGGCGCGAAAGCCAGGGGAGCGAACGGG